rnacentral:rRNA from 1 species
UCCGUAGGUGAACCUGCGGAAGGAUCAUUAAAGAAAUAUUAAAACACUGAUUUGGCGUUUAGCAGCUAACAAGACUAAUUUGUCAAGCAAUAUAAAAAAAUAACUUCCAACAACGGAUCUCUUGGCUCUCGUACCGAUGAAGAACGCAGCAAAUUGCGAUACGUAUCAUGAUCCGCAAACGUGAAUCAUUAAUCUUUGAACGCACAUGGCGCGCCUUGGCGCAUGCGGGGUGGAGCAUACAUUUUCUCCUCAGGGCCUUAGAAUCAACAGUCAGAAAACAAGUUCUCGACUUUUUUGUUUCUCCCCCCCCGUAAGACUACCCGCUGAACUUAAGCAUAUCAAUAAGCGGAGGA